CGUCCCCCGGGAGGGGGGGCGGGAGGGUGUAGCCCGAGGCCACCAGGCACCUCUCUGUCCCUACGGGGCCCCCGCCGCCUGUCUACUCUCUGGCCCCUUUACUCUUGAUAAUUCCAUUAGUUGGCCGGAGAUAAGGAGGGCAGCGGACAGAUAAUCCGAAAAAGGAAUACGCCGCGUAGAUUAGUGGCUGUCGGCACGAAUUCCCACAACCUUAGGGGCCGAGAGCGACAGCGAAUUUAUCGCCUCUGACGGUGCGACGCAGGCCUCCCCGGGCGAGGGCCCAGAUGCCCGCGGGCUGACAGCUUCCUGGCUGGACGCUCGAGGGGGGAGCCACGGGCCGCCGUGCCCUUGGGAGGCCCCCGGAAUCCCUUGGUUCCUGGCCCCCGUCUCCAGCCUCACCGCCAGCGACACCACGUCUGUCUGGCCCCACGUCCACGAUCAUCUCUGAUCCCACAUCUCUCCUGCUUCCCUCUUCCAGUUUGAAGACCCCGGAGACCAUCCCGGGCCCCCCGGGGGUAAUCCGGGCCACACGCCCUGAGUUAAAGGCUAGCCGAUUAGCAGCCUUAAUUCCACCUGCGUCCUUCGGUCCCCUUCGCCGUGGGGAGGCUAACGUUUUCACGGGCUCCACGGACGUCUUUGGGGAGGGCCUCGUUGUGCCUGCCACACCAGGAGACGUGCCUUGAGGACGCGGCCUUGUGGGAAGGGCCCUUUGUCCCAUGUUGGGAGGAGAGGAAGCCUCUGCUUGUGGAUGGAGCAGGGAAGGGGGUCCGUCCUCCCUCCCGGGACCCCGCCUCCUCGCGGUCCGGGCCCCUCCCUUUGGCCCCCGCCACGUCGCACUGCCGUCACCCCACGUACCAACUGUUCCCCAGUCUGCCCGGUGCGGUCACUCACCACUGGCCCCACGGGGCUACGUAAAUCGAAACGGGUUUGAAUGCAGCCAGGUUGAAAAGGUGGUGCCUUAGUCGCACUGGCCGCCUUUCAGAUGUUUACCACCCGCAUGUGCCUGGUGACCUCCGUACAGGACGGCCAGCACAGAAGGACAACAUGUUCGUCGUUGUGGAAAGGUGUGUUGGAUGCUGUUCCAGAGAGCAGCCCGAGGGACCUUUCCAAAACACGGAUUGCCAGCCAGCCCUUUGCUUCAAAUGUCUAACGGCUCCCCCGUGACGUAUGCCGGAGCCCUGACCCUGGUCUCCGUGCUCUGUGGGAUGUGGCCCGUGCCAGCUUCUCUGACAUCGUUUCUUCCUCUGCUUCCCCCACCAACUAGUCUUCAGGCCCGUCGUCUUCUCCCUGUUUCUAGAGUCUGUCAAGCUUGGUCCUACCUCAGGCCCUUUGCAUCAGCUGUCCCCCUGCCUGCAGAGUCCUUUCCCUAGAUAUCCAUGUGGAUCUAUGUGGACCAUUCCCUCCCUUCCUUUUGGUCUGUUCAGAUGCCACCUCCUCCAGGUGGCCUGCCCUCAUUUCCAUGCUGAAGUUGCCCCCGCCAGCCGCUCUCUGUCACUUCACCCUUGAUUGCGUUCUUGGUGCUCGGCACUCCCUGAAA